rnacentral:rRNA from 1 species
GACGAACGCUGGCGGCGUGCUUAACACAUGCAAGUCGAACGAAGUGGCGAACGGGUGAGUAACGCGUAAUCAACCUGCCUUUCAGAGGGGGACAACAGUUGGAACCGACUGAUAAUCCAGCAUACUGAAGGUGGAGAUUGCGGCUGCUUAGCUAGUUGGAGGGGUAACGGCCCACCAAGGCGAUGAUCAGUAGCCGGUCUGGGAGGAUGAACGGCCAAAUUGGGACUGGGGCACGGGCCAAACGCCUACGGGGGGCAGCAGUGGGGAAUCUUCCGCAAAGGACGAAAGUCUGACGGAGCAACGGCGCGUGAGGGAUGGCGGCCUUCGGGUUGGAAAGCUCUGUUAAUCGGGACGCGGUACCGGAAUAGAAAGCCACGGCUAACUACGUGCCAGCAGCCGCGGUAAUUC